AAGAGUUUUGACGCAUUCUGGUAAUGGUGAGAUGAGUAACUUCUCAAAUAUGCCAACAAAAUUAGUUACUAGGUAGAUCCAAGGCAGUUGAUGCCAUAAUUUAAUUUCAGGCAGAAAAGCAGCGCCUUAGGUGGAAGAAUCUUUAUUCUAUUUUGAGAUAUUUAACAGCUUUAAUAUGCCUUGACAUUCAGCACCACAUUCAUAAUCCCUGUAAUUAUUCCUUCCUACUCUAAUAAGAGCCAGCGCGGUACAGCACAAGUGCUGAGGGACGGUUUUGUUCCAUGGCUGAAAGCAGGAACACCUUGUAUAAAGCACGCUCAUUGCUCAACUGUGGGAAAACAGGUGAAUGGGAGAGUGAAACAGAAGCCUUCAGAGCAGCUCACAAUGCCUGCUGCUCUUCCUCCCUAUCUGUCUCUGCAGGCAGUUCUGAGUGAGUGAAGAAGCUGGGCAAAAUGAGAGACAUAAAGGUGAGAGCUUGCCAGGGAGAGCUUUUGGAGGACAACUCUUCUCCCGUGACUCCCACCCAGCUCCAGGGGCAGGUAACAUCCCAAGAACCAGGGCUCGUGGCGUGUUUGCCCUUCCCCCCGCUGCCUGCAGCCUGGGCCUCGCUGCCUCUUUCCAGGAGAGGACCCUGAGUGCAGGCACAUACCCCAGAAACAGGGAGUUACUUCUGAAACAACCUAACCUGGGAAACGAAGGGCCUUUGUGGGCAGCACUGGGGGCUGCCUCAGCUCUGUGUGUCUAAGCAUUGAUGGCUUUCUUGUCAUACUUUCCUGUUAAGAAGAACAGGACUGGUACCUGAAGACAACAUGUCAGGAGCCUCUGGUCUGCUUCUGUCAGAGGGUUAAAGAAGAAGAGGAGAGAAAAUGAGUGGGUGUGAAGGAUUUUCUGCUUUCUUAAAGGAGGUGGCCACUAGACUGGCUGCUGCAAAGCCCCUUAAGCUGUAAGGAAUAACAGAAUUAAGGGAUCUUGGUGAAUAUACUAGCCAUCAGCUGGAUGUCUGAGGGAGUUUUUGGAAGAGGCCCUGCAAAGACCACAGCCUGGUCAGACAAGAAGUGGAGCCAAUAAAGACGGCGGGCUGGAAGCUGUGAAGACAUGUCAAGAUUUGCAGAUAUCAAGCAAAGAGGUGAAUGAGGAGCUUGUGGUUCACAAGGUACACAGGAACAGCAGGGCUGCUGGGAUGGAAAAGCAGAGCUGUCUAGUGUGGUAGUGGUGUAAGAGACCCAUCCACCCAGAGCACGAAUGAGACACAGAUCUGACUUUACAAAAGAUCCCAAUUUAAAAAAAUGCCCACUGUCUCACUGGUUUGGUUUGGCCAGCAUAAUGUGACUUAGAAAUUUUUUUUUUAUUAUAUAUUUUUUUUCAGUCAUGCAAGAAGUCUGCAUAGCAAGACUGAGAGCACUCAUGCAGCAGUUUGUGGAGCUUGUUGCUAUAGAAAUAACUCACUGCAAUAGCUGUUGUGCAUGGAGCAUGGGCAUGGAGAGACCACAGUACUGAAAAAAGGCACAGGUGAUGGAAUGGUGGCAGAUUAAGAAAAAAUAGGAAAUGGCUGUACGGCCUUUGGGCAAAACUCUCUUGGUUGGGGUAGUGUCACAGGUCUGUCUGUGGGGACACGUUUAUAAUCUUGGUGGAGGAAUAUUACCAGAAACUGUCCUUAGGAGGGACUGAAAUUCCUUGAUUAGAAGACAAAUUAUAUCAGUAAUGUAGUUCCUUAUCACUUCUGGAAGCUAUAACCAACAGACUUAUUAAACACAAUAAAGAAUAGGGUAUACUUUUUCAGACUUCGAGCAUUUUUGUUGAAUAGUGUAGGGAUUAGAUUCCUGAAACUGGGAAAAGUUAAUUAGCCUUAAUUGGGAAUGAUGCUGGUGAGACCAAACUACUGGUAUGUAAACCACUUUGUUCAGCUGGGGUUGUGGUACUUCUCGGCAAUGUUUCAUGGUACCACUGUACAGAGAAGUACGAGAUAGUUACAGAUAAGAACCUGUUUUGGUUUUAGAUAAAGAAGAAAAAAUAGACCUGAUUUGGAGGAGUUUUUAUUUGCAAAGGGCAAAUUUUGAGAAAUGAAGGUGGCUGGACAGUGAAGCUUAUUGGCGUGAGAUAAGGUAAAAACAAAGAAAGAAAGAAACAAAAAUAUUCAAAUAAAAUUUAGUCAAAGGACAGAGUAUCCAGCAUUUGCUCCUUAGAAAGGGGAGAAGUCUUGUAUGGAAAGCUGGCAUUGGACAUAUAAUUAAUUCCCUUUAAAAGUUUAGUUGUGCACCUGUAAGGGACUGAAUGGAGGGGAAGCAGAAAGAAGCAUACAGGUUAGCAGGAUCAGAAAGUCCUGGGGAUGGACUGAAUUACUAUAAGACAAACUGGUUCAACGUUUGCAAAGGAAAUUACAGUACAUGUAAAGUUUCCUUAAUUAUAAAAAGAGAAAGGGAAAAAAGAGAAGAGCAGGGCAGGAGCAGGGGCUGAGACCAUCAAACAUAAGAAAAUGUUUUGAAGAAGAUUGACAUUGCCACCACAUGGUCACUCAGUACAGGGACAUAGCAAUGCACUUUCAAAGGCUAAAGUAAACCCUGCGGUAUGGUUAUGUUCCCACAGCUAGUGUCACAACUGCUUCUCUGGAUUAACAGUGAAAGGUCAGGCAGUCCCGGGCAGUGCAUGGCCUCAGCUGGGCACCAUUCCCUGCCACAGGGAACAGAGCCACAUCCAAGGGUUAAUCCAGGUGCCAUGGUGUGCGAUCUGCUUAUGGGGGACUCCUCAGGCUGAGAAGAAAAGCAGCUCGCUCGCAGACAUCUUGACUUCUGCAUUCAGUACGCAUGGCCUUGUGGAUGCCCAGGAGAGCAGGCUGUCAUCCUUCAUCCUGAGUGUGUGCUCAUCGCAUCUACCUUCGGAAAAGUUUACCUGUCCUGCUGUGGGCCAGCACUAAGACACCUUGUGGAACAAGAGCCUCCAACAUGUGAGCUCCGUGCCAGCUGCAGCAGCAAGGGGAGUGUGGAUCCAAUACUUUGCUCUGCUUGGUCCUGCACUUCUGGAGGUGUGGAUCCACUGCUGGGGCAUCUCUGGAGCUCUCCUUUCUGUCAUAAGGUACAUCUCACCCUGGCCCCCAUAGGAAGCCACAAGCAGAAAAGCAGGUGCCCGCUGGGAGUCAUUCUGGGGUGCUCUGCUCCAAAAGGCUGAGCUGAAUGUCACUUCUCAGAACAAUUUGCAUUUCUGAAAGCACAGAAAUCUAUCCAUGAGCUGGUAUCUACUAAAACACCAGACGGUUCGGGGCAGCGUGCCCAGAAAUGUUGGUAUUUGUGCUGAAAAUGUAAGUAUUCGUACAUCCCACUACCUGCUUUUGUCUUUGUUUAGUUACGGCAUGCAUUUUUUUUGUCAGGCUGAAGCAAAAAUACCAUGUUGCCUUUUCCAUUUUACUUGGGGAUCAAAGUGAUAUUUUGCAAGGCACGUAUCUGCCUUGCAGAAAUGAAGACGAGCUCUUCCUGGGAGCUGCUCCUGUGUUCACGGUGGCAGCCUCCACGUAGCUGCUUCUAGACUUACUUGGAAACUGCAGUGACAGACAACAAAGAAAUAAGGAUGAUUUUUUUGGUGCCAAUAUCUAUGUUCCUGGGUAGGCAGCUGUAAUUGCUCUCAGAGUCUUGCUUAUAAAAGUCGUAUUUGAAGCGCUUUGUGCAAGGCACGAUUACCAUUUGCAAUGCCUGUGAAGGAGGGACGUGGAAUAUCCCCAGUGAGCAGGGAAAAACCAAAAGCACCACAUGGCAGUACUAACACCACUGAAAGCUUACACAGGAGUCACGGUGUUAUGGCUUGAGGUCAAAGGAAUUUAUUUCUUCCUGUCGUACAACGGACUGCACAUUGACAGAUAAUGUGGAGUCUUUUAGCUGUGUUUAGCAAACUUUUUGCUUUCCCUCUGAGUUAAUAGACCCUCGGUUGCCCUAAGGUGGGCGAGAACAAGCUGGCUGUGGUAUAAACCUUCCUCGGGAAGACGGAGCUGAUUCCCCUAAUUAAAGGUAUUGUGUAGCUUCAGUGUCAAGACAUUGAGUCAAUAACUGCAGUUUCUUCUUACUGGCCUGGCCAGGAAAAAGUGCCUUGCUGCUGAGCAGCACUGUUUUUCUUAAUGCUUUGUACUUUGCUUGCUGGACCUAAUUGUGACCUUGCGAUCCAAGAAACACUUGUCGUCUGUACAGGGCUGGCUGGGAGCACGAACUUCUCUUCCACAGAAAUGGCAGCAUUUUGAAAGGCUUUGUUCCUAACUGGGACUUUCACAAGAAAAAAUUAUGUCAGAAACACUAGCGUGUUUCUUUCACAUUGUCCCUGUGUAUGUUCCAUAUAAAAUAUGUAGAAAGAAAGAAAAAUUAUUGUAAUUAACAACGUUGCAAUUAAGCCUGCUUGAUUCUGAAACAAGCGUGACCUACAAAAAACAAGGAAAAGCAUUGAGAUUUCCCUGAAAAAUGUUGAAAUCAUGGAUUUGCCUGAUGAAGGGAUUGAUUUUGAGAAAGGACAUUUUUUGAUGGAAAGUGGGUUCCUGAAAUGUAUUUCAAUUAAUGUCAUUUGUAUUACUCACUUCUCACUGCUGAACUGAACAUCCUGGAUUUUAACAUACGGCAGCGUGCUGUGUAUUCUAGUUCUUGCAUUUAAAGUGACUGCAGCAGUGCUAAAUGUGUUUGCUAGAGCAGACCCUCAGCAGAACCCAGAUGUAGUUCAUCUACUAAAUGACUGUCCCAGAGGAGGUGACAUUUCUCGUGCCACUUGUCUGUGGUAUCUCCUGGCUGAUCUUGCCAGCUCCCAAACAAGUUUGUGAGUGUAACUGAAUUCUGGUCCUCGUGAUCAUAGAUCUGCCUGUGAUGGCUUUUUGUUGUUAUCACUGCUUCACAUAAACUUAAAACCAGGACUGUUAGAGGCCCAUGAGCUUCCCUCAGAUUUAUCUCCUGUGGCUUGCGUGGCCAAACACACAGGAGGCAGAGUGGCGCCUUCCCUCUAUGGCUGGAGUAAAGCC